rnacentral:rRNA from 1 species
UACGAAGGGUGCAAGCGUUACUCGGAAUUACUGGGCGUAAAGCGUGCGUAGGUGGUUUGUUAAGUCUGUUGUGAAAGCCCCGGGCUCAACCUGGGAAUGGCAAUGGAUACUGGCAGGCUAGAGUGCGGUAGAGGGUAGUGGAAUUCCCGGUGUAGCGGUGAAAUGCGUAGAGAUCGGGAGGAACACCAGUGGCGAAGGCGGCCCUCUGGGCCGGGCCUGACGCUGAGACGCGAGGGCGUGGGGAGCGAAC